rnacentral:lncRNA from 1 species
UUAAGAGUUAUUUUGUAAUUAGCUUCUAAGAAUUUUAGUUAAUUUUCAACCUUAAUAAUUUACUUUCUUCAAUCAAUUUAGUUCAUUAGUUUUUAUUUUUUUAUUUAUUUUUUAAGAUAAAGUGUUAUGUUGUGGGUGAUGAGAUAGGCUUAAGAGUGAGAAUCAGGUCAGAUAUCGAUUGGGCUUAUUCCGGCCCAGCUAGCUGGAUUUCGGGGUAACUUUAAAAAGCCCAAACUAAAAAACUUUAUAAAGGUGAGUGGUACUUUAUUAAUGGGUAUUUUGUGGUUAGCUUAUAAGAAUUUUAAUUAAUUUCAACCUUAGUAGUUUACUUUGUUCAAUCAAUUUAGUUCAUUAGUUUAGUUUUUUUUACUUUUUAAGAUAAAGUCUUAUGUUAU